UGGUUUCCGUUCUCCAACUUUAGUUUACCUCAACCAAAUGUUAUGAAACUUAUACACAAUGGUUAUUAACACAAAACUUAGAUCAAGUAUGAAUUUGGGUGAUGUCACUUUUACCGUUCUGGAGUUAUGUCCCUUUAUAACGUUAUAUGCAAGCAGGGGCAUCACAUUCUCCAUUUAUUUUCUUAAUUAAUGCUUCAUUUCUAUCAGUUUGAGUUUGAGGUAUCUACAUCAUCCAUAACAUAUUUUUUGUUUUAAACCAUAAUCAUUUAAUUGUAUUAGAUGCAUUUGUUUUCUAACCUUUGGUAUCAAUAUAAAAAUAGAAGAUAUUUGUGGUAUGAUUGCCAAUGAUACAAUUAUCCACCACAAUUAAAAUGAAGUGAAUGUAAGCAAUAAUUUAUAGACAACCAUACAGCCUUCAACAAUGAGAAAAACCCAUGCCGUAUAGUCUGUAUCAAGUUUAUAUAUUGGAGAUGAUAAUAUACAACAAUUUUGUAUGUAAUAAAACACAGCAUGAUUAUGUUAAAAUGUUUUUAAACAUGUAUAUUUUCCUUAUUUUUUAGGUAGUAAUGAGAAUGUUUUCAUGGUGCUGGGAGUAAGACUUGGAGAUCUGAUACUGUUUACAUGUUGGUUAGCAUCACAUUUCCAUAGGGUUACUUGAUGGGUAGUAAUUAAUUGGAGCUGUUUUAAGUUGAAAGUGUAACUGUUGCUGCCUUGUAUGGUAAAAUUCUCAGACAAUAAUCCUGCAAACCAUCAGAUGAUCUGUUGCUAACUAUUUUGUAGCAUCCAUAGACAGUAGUCUUGUAAGCAGAAGAAUGAGUUGUUAACAUUUUUGAUUUUAUGCUGUAUUGAGUUAUACAAAUUUUUCACUAUUUUUACUUGCAUUCAAUUAUCGUAAUAUGAUUGAUGAAAAAUAAAACUGUGAAAUUAUUAUUAUUUGAGAGGUCCCAAAGAUAUACCAUAUGGUUUCACAAAGUUCCAUAAAACUUGCAU